rnacentral:rRNA from 1 species
AGACGUCUACAUUAGAUACCCCUGUAGUCCCAGCCGUAAACAAUGUGCGUUAGGUGUGUCGGUAACCACGUGUUACUGAUGCGCCGAAGAGAAAUCGUGAAACGCACCACCUAGGGAAGUACGGUCGCAAGGCUGAAACUUAAAGGAAUUGGCGGGGAGCACCACAACAGGUGGAGCCUGCGGUUUAAUUGGAUUCAACGCCGGACAUCUCACCGGAUAAGACAGCUGAAUGAUUGUCAAUCUGAAGGUUUUACAUGACUAGCUG